UACAUCGCCAGUCCGGCACCUGUUGAUCGUGGCUCCUCUAUCGCCAUCCCAACCAUAGUUCUCUUUUCUUCAGGAGAUGGUUAUCAACCUUCCAUCUCUCGAGUGCCUUCUUCAGGAUCCAGAUGGUGUACCUCAUCCUCUUGUUCUCCAAGGUCUCUUACAUCUCAUAGUGUAGUCUAUUUCAGGGAACCUUGGUCGGUCAAGGGAGUUUCGCAAUCAACUCCCCAACCUAUCAAGGGUGCACCCAACACGAGACAGG